rnacentral:rRNA from 1 species
UACAGAGGGGGCUAGCGUUGUUCGGAAUCACUGGGUGUAAAGGGUGCGUAGGCGGUUAGUUAAGUCUGAUGUGAAAUCCCUCGGCUCAACUGGGGAACUGCAUUGGAAACUGGCUAGCUAGAGUACCGGAGAGGGAAUCGGAAUUCCUGGUGUAGCGGUGAAAUGCGUAGAUACCAGGAGGAACACCGGUGGCGAAGGCGGAUUCCUGGCCGAGUACUGACGCUGAGGCACGAAAGCGUGGGGAGCGAACGGG